UACGGAGGAUCCAAGCGUUAUCCGGAUUUAUUGGGUUUAAAGGGUGCGCAGGCGGCGAGUUAAGUCAGCGGUAAAAUUUCGGGGCUCAACCCCGUCGUGCCGUUGAAACUGAUGUUCUUGAGUGGGCGAGAAGUAUGCGGAAUGCGUGGUGUAGCGGUGAAAUGCAUAGAUAUCACGCAGAACUCCGAUUGCGAAGGCAGCAUACCGGCGCCCAACUGACGCUGAAGCACGAAAGCGUGGGUAUCGAACAGG
rnacentral:rRNA from 1 species